rnacentral:snoRNA from 1 species
AGGAAUAAAAUGGGAAUGACUGUUGAUUGGUGUCCAGAAUUGGUCAAUGUAGCUAAAAUUGAGACACAGGUCAUGCUUUCAUCAUAGUAAAUAUUUACAGUGGUGACAAUGAGGCCUGUAACAUUU